GCCAGGCCCUGUUCCCGGUGCUCUCCCGAGCACGGACUUCCUGGCCCUCUGUGGGCCGGGCUGGGCACAGCCCACAACCCUGGACGGAGGAGGCCUGGACGCAGGACCAUCGAGGACCACGGGGCCGGGCCUGCUGCUCUCUGGGCUGAGGAGGUUGCAGGCUCUUCUGGAAAAUGGCCCCAGCACUGCCCACCAUGACCACCCAGCUCAGGUCGGGUGCUCCAGACCAAGGUGACCGUGUGGCUGGACCAGAGCCAUGUGACUGGCCAGCGUGAGAGGUCCAGGGGCAUGAUGGGGGGGGAGCAGAGGAGAGAGUGCCCAGUGGAGGGUGGCACAGCCCGAGGCCCCAGAGCUGGGCCUUCUGCUGAGCACAGCCCGAGCCCGCUCUGCUCUACCUCUGACUGGCGGACUGCAGGCUCCCCCUGGGCAGGGGACACUGUGACUGAUGGCUUCCCCAGGCCUAGGCAGGCAGCCACCCUCCUGCCCGUCACUCCCUGGGCUCCUCCCCACCUCCUGCUGACCCCCGCUGCACCCCACGCUGUCCCACCUGCCCCCAGCCCACGGAGAUGACUGUCAGGAGGACGGUGCCUUCCUUCCGGGCCUCUCCUCCCCGCCUUGCUCUGCAGACCUGAGGCCAGGCCCCUCCCGGGCGGCCCUUCUUGGGUGGCUCCCUCGGGCUAGAGGGCCUUGUGGGUGCUGCUGCCCACCCACCUCUACCCCAGCCCGCCUUCCCCCGGGCUCAGCCUGGUGCCCCCACUGUGCUUGGGUGGGUGCUGCCCCUCUGCCCCUGGCUCCCCUUUCUCCCCCCACCCACCUCUCCUCCCCAGGGAUGUGUCUGUGUCCCCACUGGCCAGCCGGCCAAGGACCAAAGCCUCAGGAAGUGUCAGCCGGUGGCUGCUUUAAAACCCUGUCACUUCUCCACCUGAGGAAACAGGCCCAGGGAGGCACAUGGCUUGGAUCUGGAAGGUUCCCCGAAGCCUGAUGUGUCGAGGACUUGGUCCCCGGUGUGGCCAGGUGCUGAGCCUCACCUCAGGCCCGAGUUGUGCAGUUGACCGAGCGAGCACCAAAGUCUCUGGAACCCGGAGCCAGCACAGAGCGCUUCCUCCUUUCAGUUGUCGGGUGUUUGAGUCACAGCAGUGGACACCCGGUUGCUCUGGGUCACACCGUGAGGCGGAGGCCAGGGGAGACCUCUAGGUGGGGAGCCUGUGUCCAGCCCUCCCAUGGCCGCCAGGGCCCCAGGGGCAGAGCCCGUGGUGUUUUCCUCUCCGUCACCCAUUAAUAAUGGGAUUAAAGCAAGUUCCUGCCAAGGAGAGAGACUGGCUCUUAAGAAACAGCUCAAGCACAUUGUAAGAGUGAAAACCGUCGGCCAUCAGCACUUUUUACCUAGACCUGAAUUCAUGAAUGUUAACCAAAUAAUCACAGGCACGGAGCUCUAAUGCCUGCGAUUAUGCACAACCACCAUUAUGGCUGUAAUGACAAUUAGAUUCCGGCUCGGCGGUGGCUUCCAGGAGGGAGGAGUCCUCUGGUUUCCAGCGCUGUGACCUCGGAUUGCCGUUGCCAUGGCAGUGGGGCUGCGUGGGAAUCUGUGGACAGGAGACUGGUCUUGUGGGGAGGUGCAGGACAAAGGUCCCUCCUCAGCCCCGAGCCUUAGUCAGAGCAAGAGGCUGGGGUGGCAGAAAUGGCCAGUGCCCAGGGGCCCCUGCUGACUUCAUCCCUUACCAGGCAAUGGGCUGGCCCUGUGGGACACAGUGCUGUCACCUUUCAGUAAAUAUUAGUUGAGCACCUGCUAGGUACGGGGGAUAGAGCAGUGGCAGGUCCCUGGGCGUGCUGAGCCCACAGCUCAGGGGGGACAGAUAAGAAAGCAGACAGACAUAGGAGCCUGGUCAUCUCUGCCUGCGAAGGGCCAAGAAGGCACGGAAGCUGAAGUGACCGGGAGUGCCUGGAAGGGGUCCUUCUGCCCGCGUGGCCAGGGGAGGCCUAGCUGGGGAGGCCCGCAGGACAGCAAGAAGAGAAUCCCGCAAAGGCAGUGGUGACCCUUUCAGAGAAGACAGCGGGGUAGGCAGAGGAGACACGGGACACAGCUAAAAUCGAAUUUCUGAUAAAUCACCCAUAAUUCCUAGUGUGAGCCUGUGUCACGCAUCACCGAGACAGGCUGACCCUAACAGGUCGUUUGUUGCCAUCUGAAAUUCACAGGUACCUGGCCUCCUGGAUUCGUCUUUGCUACAUUCAGCCAGCCCGACAGAGAGCAGAGCUGCCUCCCACUCACCCCACGCCCUGCGCUGUCCUCCUGGAGGGUGGCUCACAGGUCCCCAGCCUGUUUCCCCUAAAAGCCCUGGGACUGCGUGAGGUCUGCAGGGCCCUGGGGCACUGGUCCUCACCCACCGUCCAGUGACUUCACUUCUCCUGCCUGCUUCUUCAUCCCCACCCUCCUGCACCACCCUUCAAGGCCUCGACCCGGCUUACUGUCCAGAGAAACUUCUGUGCACCUUCCGCUUGGUCCCAGCCUGUGCAGACGCUCGGCACUUCACUGUCUGAAAAUUAGCCAUGCAUAUUUAAAAUUUUUAAUUAAUUAAUUUAUGGUACUUGGGAUUUAACCCAGGGGGACUUUAGCCACUGAACUAUGUUUCCAGUUCUUUUGUUUUUAUUUCGAGACAGGGUCUUGCUAGGUUGCUGAAAACCUCCUAAGUUGCUGAGACUGAUCUUGAACUUGCAACCCUCCUGCCUCAGCUUCCUGAAUUGCUGGGGUUACAGAUGAGCACCAUCGCACUGGCUAUAAAUUUUAUUAUAUAAAAUAUACAUAACAGA